rnacentral:lncRNA from 1 species
AUGAGUAACCCGAGCACUCCCACACCCUCCAUUACCCAACACAACCCACACAGGAGAAGGAAUUUCUGCACAGAGACCAACAUCAAAUAUUUCAAAUUCCUCUUGAGGACCCCACUUCCUUCCUGUAUUUGCCUUCCUUGGCACAGCCCAGAAGGUGUCCAGCAAAACCAGCUGUCUGAAACACUGGCUUCCCUUGGGGUCAGGUGCUGGUUCAGUCUUGGGAGGCCAGAGUGUUCAGACUACAGUCUGAGAGCUGUACUCCUGGUGAGCGCCCAGCAAGUGGCAGCUUAGGCUCUGGUUCAAGGUGAGUAGAGAUUCUCCUUUGUUGCUAUCUUUUUUCCCUGUGAUCAGUGGAGGAGCCAGCUCCCUGGGGCUCCACGUUAUAUCAGUGGCAGGCUCCAAGGAGCUAAGUGCACAGGUCUUCUUCCCAGAUUUGGGAAUUUUAAUUGAACUGUGAAUAGAUAACAGUGAGACCAAAAGAGAUAAACCUUCCAAAUGGACAUUUUGUACAGUCUUGGAAUUCCAGACUCCUGGAGGUCUGAGAAUUAAAGUCCCAAGUCACAUCAAAUGCUAUUUAUCUCCAUCAACACAUCUAAAAUAGUCCCGAGUGUUCUGUGCAUGGACAAUAAUCAAUAAUCAAUAAGUUUUAUGGAACCAGACAAUCAGUGACCCCCAAGGCCCUUUAAAACUUUUUGCCUAGUUCUACACAUCUUCAAAAAAUCAUGGGUGACACAGCACUGUCCUAACAGAGGUUGACUAUCACCCCAUUAUUGGAAGAUGGAAAGCCAAGUCAAUAGACUACUAAUCCAAUGGACACCUUGUUUUCCCUCUUCCUCCUUUCUCUGCCACGCCCCCAGUGAGGUAGCAGACCUCAGUUAUGAGGAGCUGUUAACGCUUCCCAAGCAGCGCAGUGACCACGUGAUGCUCCACACAUAAGGGAUCCCCUGAUAAUAUUAAUGAUAAUUAGAUAAUGAUAAUUAGAUACUGAUAAUAUCCAGUAGUCCUAAAGAUUCCCUUAGCAUAGUUCACGUCCAAAGAAAGGAAAAAGCAUGGAACUCAAUAUGACUGAAAUUCAAAUGUGACUCAGGGGAGAGAGAAUUUUUUGCACAUCCGUCUGAGCUGUGUGAAACCAGCAGCAAUAAACAGGACUGAUAACGCA